AACGAACGCUGGCGGCGUGGAUAAGACAUGCAAGUCGAACGGGACAAUCUGAGUAGCAAUAUUUAGGUUGUUUAGUGGCGAAAGGGUGCGUAACACGUAGCUACAUACCUCGAAAUGGGGGAUAAUCCCGCGAAAGCGGGACUAAUACCGCAUGUGACUGAAAGGUUAAAGUUGGGGAUCGUAAGACCUGACGUUUCGAGAUUGGGCUGCGGCCUAUCAGGUAGUUGGCGGGGUAAUGGCCCACCAAGCCUAAGACGGGUAGCUGGUCUGAGAGGACGACCAGCCACACUGGAAUUGAGACACGGUCCAGACACCUACGGGUGGCAGCAGUCGAGGAUUUUUCUCAAUGGGGGAAACCCUGAAGGAGCGACGCCGCGUGGGGGAUGAAGGUCUUCGGAUUGUAAACCCCUGUCAUCUGGGAACAAUGUUGCUCACCUAAUACGUGCGCAAUUGAUAGUACCGGAAGAGGAAGCAGUGGCUAACUCUGUGCCAGCCGCCGCAGUAAUAC
rnacentral:rRNA from 1 species